UUCUCCCUUAAAUCUCUUGGUAUAGAAUUGAAUCAGAGAGCGUUUUUCUCGUAUACCGACCUGUUCUUUACCGCUUAAGGCUUGGAGCAUCAUCAUGUAUUCAUCCCUAAACAUAUGGAUUCAUCUGGUAAACCAACCUUUUCGGCUUGGAGCAUCAUCAUGUAUUCAUCCCUAAACAUAUGGAUUCAUCUGGUAAACCAACCUGUUCUCUCGCCCUUAGGGCUUGCAGUAUUCAGGUGUUGUUUCUGGAUCUUUUUUCUUCCCAGAUUUUGUGUUUCUACGACGACGAUGAACAAUUUUGAUUACUUCUGAAGAAAAUAUCUGCCUUCUUGACCAUUCGAGCAGUAGUGCCCGGAGAUAGAGUUGUUCCCAGUCAUAUUUAUCAGAGCUAAGUUCUAAGAGAAAAGAGAAGGAAUAUCAGCUUGAAGAUGCCAAUGUUUGUUACGGUUUCGAAAUUCUGAGAAUCUGGAUCAGUAUCUCAAUUUCAUUUCAAAGAUGGCUUUGAUUCACACCGUUCUGAAAAAGAUUUGCCAUCCGAAAAGAGAAAAAAGAAAAAAAAAAAAACAAAAAAAAACAGAGUGUUUAUCUAAAGAAAUGCCUCGAUCAAGGGUAGAUGUGUUGAAUUUUCUGGAUCGCCUCCUGAAGUUCUAGAAUCACCAAGAUCGCGUGAGUUCUACCAGGAAAAGCCUCGCAAUUAUCGACCACUUAUUGCUAUGAAUUCGAUUUGUAGCCAACAGCCUCUCUACGAAGAUCGGGCAGGAGAGCUAUUUCCUAUGAUGGGAGUUUAUAUACAAUUUGGAGUAUCAAUUCAGGCUUCUUGUCAAGUGUGCGGGAAUUUCUUGAACACCUCGUUUGAGAUAUUCUGCAUCCACACCAUUAAUUUGGCUUCAAAGGUUUGGAGUCCCAACAUCUGGGAGUAGAUUAUAUGAGAAUGUGAUUAUUUAGUGUCAAUGGUAAAUAUAUGUAUCUUGAAGGGCUUCCCAAUGGUAGGCCAUUGGAAGCCAUGAAAAGGUAUAUAGUUGAAGCUUUGUUGCCAUUGUGUCGUCGACCUUUGCCAUGACAGGUGCGCUUGCUUGGCAGGUCAAAGUGCUUCAAUAAAAAGUUCCAUUUUCGAGUGUUCGGGGGAGGGGAUGGCACGGUGCCCUUUCAUCCGGCUCCCCUCUCCCAAUCUCUGUCUCUCUCUCUCUCCCCCUCCCUCUCCCUCUCUCCCUGUCUCUCUUUCUUCAGUUUUUUCUGUAGUUUUGCUCAGUCUUUGCACGUCCACUAUUACAAAGAGCCGUGUGUGCAGCAAAAACUAAAUCGACGGUGAGAUUCCACCCUCCUCGAGGUACGAAUUUCGAAUUAUAUCCAUUUUCUAAAGUCGUUAUGGUCUAAUUGCAUCGACCCAUCUCGAGCUGUCAAUAUUGCAAAUUUGAGAUCGUACCAUUUCUAUAUGCACGAUUGCGUUUCUCACUGCCAAGCAUUGCCAAACUACAUCUUUAGCUAAAUUCCGCAACUUUCAUUAUGGAAGAAUCAUAUCUCACGUUUACUUAUCAACUGUUCUACAAAGUAUAUGCAAUUUGAUCCAUUUCUUUAUCUACGUUUGAUCUGUAUAUGUGUUUAUGCGUUCCACUGUCGUCGGGUUUUGGGUUUUGGGUUUUGGGUUUCGUGGUCGAAUUAUGCUUCUUUCUUCUAGCAUGUUUAGCCAGUCGAAAGAUGAUUAGAAAUGGCCUUUUAUUUCAGAUGUUCUUUGAUUUUGUAUAUAAACUCUAAGCUCCAAACAGACUUUACUCUAAAUUUCUCAAGUGAGACAGCGUAGCCUCUUUCUUGGCUCUCUGGAGCUGAACAACUGCAGCUUCCUUGAAACAUUCAUCAUGGUCGACUUCUUGCAAAAGGAGAAGGAUGGCUCAGGCCACUGCUAGGCCAGUAGGGGAGUAAUUGUAAUGCAUAUGGCUAGAUAGGGAAUUAAAUGUAACUAGUGAAACUUUAAUUUAUAUCAGGUCUCAUCUGAAUCUAUCCAUCUAUCCUCCUGAGAGAAGUUUGGAGAAGUGCGUUGAUCCACAUCUCAGAGUUGGUCGCUGAUGAGCACAUUGAACUAUCCAUGUGGCUAAGAGCCCUCACAGUCAAGCAUUGAUGAACACAUUAAAUUAUUAGGUGCUACUCUAAUUUUGUACUUAGGGUCAUUUUAUACUUUAUAGAUUGUAAUUAAUGUAACUAAUUCCUACUUCCCACAGCCCUAACCUAAGGUAAUUAUAAGGUAGGGGCUCCCUUUUGUAAACACAUCUUUUGGGAAUAAAAUAGCUUCCUUUUUUCUUU